rnacentral:rRNA from 1 species
UACGAAGGGGGCAAGCGUUGUUCGGAAUUAUUGGGCGUAAAGGGAGCGUAGGCGGUUCGGCAAGUCUUUAGUCGAAAUCUCUGGGCCUCAACUCAGAGUCGGCUGGAGAAACUGCCGGGCUGGAGUAUGGGAGAGGUGAGUGGAAUUCCCGGUGUAGCGGUGAAAUGCGUAGAUAUUCGGAAGAACACCAGUGGCGAAGGCGGCUCACUGGCCCGUUACCGAGCUCAGGCGCGACA